rnacentral:tRNA from 1 species
AAAAUCCGUCGACUNUANAAAUCGUGAGGGUUCAAGUCCCUCUAUCCCCA